CAAACUUGUUUAGAAACAUAGGACAAGUUUUCUCAUAAUUGAGACAGUGAAGUCUCUGCUACUCAGUGUGGAACCAGGAUUUCCACCAAAUACAUGUUUCAGUGCCAUGUUCUGUCAGGUAUUGGACAAAUAUCUCUAACAGCUACUCUUCACACAAGCUCUACUUCCAAAGCCAGAAUUCCACAUGAAGAUUUCCUUCAAAUGUAAAACUUGGGGGGACUGUCUAAAGCCAAGCGUAUAAAUGGCAUUCUGAACAUUUAGUUCUAGUCCAUUUAUUUUUGUUUACUUCUGUGCUUCAUUAUAAUGAGAUCCACGUUUUUGUGUAUCAAGGACUAUAAUUACUCGUGUCCAUAGAGCAGCUCAGCAGAGAGCAUAAUUAUUGCUCACAUGUCAGCUCAAGGCAAGAAUUAGACUCAAAAGUCUGACACGGUCAUUACUCCUACAUUUUAAUUUGUUCACCUCCUGGUAGCACCUAACAGAUCACCUAUGCCUGUCCUAAUUUUUCAAUACAAAGAGACUGAAUUCCUGCCUCUGUAUCCUUUUCUGUGAGGGAGAUAGUCACACCUGAAAAUGAAGCUCACACUCACAAGGACACAGGUUCAGGGACAGGGCAGCACAGGGCAGCACAGGGCACCUUGGCACGUGGGCAGCACUGCCAGCAUCACAGACACGUCUGAGGCUGCAGAGACGUGACAGAUGGUCCUGGGUGCACAGGA